GCGCCUCUUGAUCGACGAUGAAGUUGACGUCGCUCGAUGAUUAUGGCGCCGGAGAAGGAUAUCGAUGGUCGCAAUUCUUGCAGUUGAAGUACUCAACACUUUUGAAACCGGUUGGGUGCUUCAGUGAAAGCUAAGAAGCUUGGUUAAGGAGGAUACAGUGAGUUAUGUAAGGGAGCCUUACCUGAUGGUGGAGAAACUGCAAUAAAAUUUUGAACUUACUCAUUAGUAGAAAGGACCGAUCCUCACUUGACAGUCUUCUUGGAGCUGGGGCAAGGUUCCUUCUGCAAUUGAUUGGUGGCACUGAUCCCUGUUACAUUGAAGCAUGCCAUUUAGCUGAUUCUAUUGAUGGGCACUGAUCCCUGUUACUUUACAGGUCAUGUCUGCUGUUUGAGAUAAUAUUUUCCGUUCAUUGUAAGCGAUUAUGUUCUGGAACUUUUGCCAUCAUGGUUCUUCUAAUAUAUAUUUGUAGUCUCAUCAAUCAGGUCAACAAAUAUCAUUUCGUCAUUAGCUCCAUAAUUAUCGUGUCCAAGUUUUUAGUUAUUCCAGGGAAGUGAAUUCAACUUGAAUUUGAAUGGUUGCGUAGAUGCACAAUAUGGGAGUCCCAACCGUUCCAAUUUCAUAUUGAAUACCCUGCACUUGAACGACUAUUCUUUGACCAUCACAAUAGCUGGAGCUAGUGACGGCUACAAUAUUUGUUGAUCUGGUAUGUAUUAUUUUCUUGACCUGGUUGAUUCAGUUUUUUGGUUCAGCUUCUGAUGCUAUCAAUUGCAAUUCAGAUUGGAUUUAGAUGUCUGGUUGGAUAACCUCGCUGAUGGGGCAGUUGAGUAGAUAUCUCAAUGGAACGGAUAUUUAUCGGACUGUCUUUUUUUUCUUUUUACUUUUUAAUCUCUGAUUCACUGUAGCUUUACUUCUUUUUUGUCACUCAUCUGGCACAAAAAAGUGGGCGUAAAUUUUAGUA